rnacentral:rRNA from 1 species
UACGUAGGGUGCGAGCGUUAAUCGGAAUUACUGGGCGUAAAGGGUGCGCAGGCGGUUCUGCAAGUCAGGCGUGAAAGCCCCGGGCUUAACCUGGGGAUGGCGCUUGAAACUACAGGACUGGAGUAUGGCAGAGGGAGGUGGAAUUCCACGUGUAGCGGUGAAAUGCGUAGAGAUGUGGAGGAACACCGAUGGCGAAGGCAGCCUCCUGGGCCAAUACUGACGCUCAUGCACGAAAGCGUGGGGAGCAAACAGG